CAGCCGCCGUGGGAAUACGUAGGUGGCAAGCGUUGUCCGGAAUUAUUGGGCGUAAAGGGCUCGCAGGCGGUUUCUUAAGUCUGAUGUGAAAGCCCCCGGCUCAACCGGGGAGGGUCAUUGGAAACUGGGAAACUUGAGUGCAGAAGAGGAGAGUGGAAUUCCACGUGUAGCGGUGAAAUGCGUAGAGAUGUGGAGGAACACCAGUGGCGAAGGCGACUCUCUGGUCUGUAACUGACGCUGAGGAGCGAAAGCGUGGGGAGCGAACAGGAUUAGAUACCCCAGUAGUCCCUGUCUCUUAUAC
rnacentral:rRNA from 1 species